rnacentral:pre_miRNA from 1 species
AUCUUUAGUUCACUAUCUUUAUAGUGAACUGAAGAUAAAGAUAGUGAACUGAAGAU